rnacentral:rRNA from 1 species
GGCGGCGCGCUUAACACAUGCAAGUCGCACGAGAAAGUGGAGCAAUCCAUGAGUAAAGUGGCGUACGGGUGAGUAACACGUGGAUUAUCUACCUUUUAGUGGGGAAUACCCCUGGGAAACCGGGGACAAUACCGCAUAAGCUCGUAAGAGGAAAGCCGAAAGGCGCUGAAAGAGGAGUCCGCGGCUGAUUAGCUAGUUGGCGGGGUAACGGCCCACCAAGGCGAAGAUCGGUAGCCGGCCUGAGAGGGCACACGGCCACACUGGCACUGAAACACGGGCCAGACUCCUACGGGAGGCAGCAGUGGGGAAUCUUGCACAAUGGAGGCAACUCUGAUGCAGCGACGCCGCGUGAGCGAUGAAGCCCUUCGGGGUGUAAAGCUCUUUCGACGGGAACGAUAAUGACGGUACCCGAAGAAGAAGCUGCGGCUAACUACGUGCCAGCAGCCGCGGUAAUACGUAGGCAGCGAGCGUUGUUCGGAAUUACUGGGCGUAAAGAGUGCGUAGGCGGUGCUCUAAGUCUGUCGUGAAAUCUCCCGGCUUAACUGGGANGGUGCGGCGGAAACUGGAAUGCUA